rnacentral:rRNA from 1 species
CCUCCUGGGAAGUCCUCGUGGUGCACCCCU